AAGAAUUUAAGUUAAUUAAACUAUUAGCCUUCAAAGCUUAAAUUAAAAUAAAAUUUUUAAUUCUUA
rnacentral:tRNA from 1 species